AUUUGUUUGAGCCCAUCAACUUGGAUUUCUUGGAGCCGUUAGAGGGAGAGAGGUGCCUGACUCCAAUCGAGGGUUUCCUGAGUCCGAUCACCUGAAUCGAUUGAGGAGAGAGGUGAUGAUAUUGUGAAGGAUUGCCAAAAUUGAUCUCCUAACUCUUGCUGCAACAAGGGGGCUCCCUGUUACUCAGAGUAAAUGUCUACCUCAAGUAAUUGUAGCACACUUGGAGGUUUCAAGUACGGAUCUAUUAAAUGUAGGUGUAAUCGGAAAGCUGUGAUCAGGAUAUCAUAGACCACUGACAACCCAAACAAUUUUUUUUUUUAUAGCUGUCCAAAUUACAAUGGAUGCAAAUACUUCGCAUGGUGUGAACCUAUGAAUAUUACAGCUACCAAUCCGUUACCCAAUCCCACCAUUGAUAUGCAAGAGUUGGAAGAGGAUGUGAGGUGGUUGCGAGAGGAGCUGCGUGGGCUCAAAGAUGUGUUACAUGGGUUGCAGCAAGAAAUGCAGAGUGUGAAGAUAAGGGUGGAUGACACAGUUAACUUUGCUGGAUCAAUGAAAAUAUUUUGUAAUUUUGUGUUUGUUUUUUUCGUAGGUGUUUUUGUAGCCAUAUUUAUCGGCCAAAAAUUGUAAAAGUUGGAUGUUAUUAAGCAAAGAACUAUGUUAUGUACUGAAUUAGGUUGUGUAAUGGAAAUUAUGACAGCAUGUUGCCAUGAUUUUGGCAUAAUUUUGGCA